UACGUAGGGGGCAAGCGUUGUCCGGAUUUAUUGGGCGUAAAGAGCGUGUAGGCGGCUAGGUAGGUCCGUUGUGAAAACUCGAGGCUCAACCUCGAGACGCCGGUGGAAACCAUCUAGCUAGAGUCCGGAAGAGGAGAGUGGAAUUCCUGGUGUAGCGGUGAAAUGCGUAGAUAUCGUAAGGAAGACCAGUGGCGAAGGCGGGUCUCUGGACAGUUCCUGACGCUGAGGCACGAAGGUCAGGGGAGCAAACGGG
rnacentral:rRNA from 1 species